GAGGGGCGCUGUCUGUGUUACUGUGCCUGAGGAGAGGAGCUGCUGAUGAGUCUGGAGUAAGGCAAAUGGGGAGCAAAUGAAAUGAAAGCUCCUACCUUAGCUAGAAAACCUCUUCCCAUUAGGGGCACAGGGCAAGUUGGCACAACUAAAAAUGUGUGGGUAAGAGGGAUACCCCUGAAAAUACAAUUAAGUGGUGGGGUCUGGUGAGGUAGGAAAGGCUGUCCCCUACCAUGACA